GACGAAGGAUGCAAGCGUUAUCCGGAUUCAUUGGGUUUAAAGGGUGCGUAGGCGGACUUGUAAGUCAGUGGUGAAAUCUCUUUGCUUAACAAAGAAACUGCCAUUGAUACUGCAGGUCUAGAGUAUAGAUGACGUUGGCGGAAUAUGACAUGUAGUGGUGAAAUACUUAGAUAUGUCAUAGAACACCGAUUGCGAAGGCAGCUAACGAAACUAUAACUGACGCUGAGGCACGAAAAGUGCGGGGAUCAAACAGG
rnacentral:rRNA from 1 species